GGCGGGAGCCGGCCCGGAGGGGCGAGGCAGCCCGCGGUGGGGGAGGGAGAGGGGCCGGUUCGGGCCGAGGAGAGGUAGCGAGGGCCGACAAGGGCUGAGGCGAGCCGGCCGGGGCUGAGGCGAGCCGGCCGGAGGGCAGCGGAAGGCUGGCGCCCUGCGGCGGGCGCUCGCAGGUCAGGAGGCGGCUGCGCCGGUGGCUCCCCGCGUUCCUGGCUCUCGGCUGUUGGGCUCCCCACGCCAUGUUCUCGGUGCUCUCGUAUGGCAGGCUGGUAGCCCGGGCAGUCCUGGGCGGCCUUUCACAGACGGACUCCCGUGACUACAGCUUGGUGACAGCCAGCUGUGGCUUUGGCAAAGAUUUCCGUAAGGGCAUCCUCAAGAAAGGCAUGUGCUACGGGGACGACGCCUGCUUCGUGGCCCGGCACCGGACGGCAGAUGUGCUGGGGGUAGCAGAUGGUGUUGGUGGCUGGAGAGACUAUGGGGUUGACCCUUCUCAGUUCUCAGGGACUCUAAUGCGAACUUGUGAACGUUUAGUUAAAGAAGGACGGUUUGUACCAAGCAAUCCUGUUGGGAUCCUCACCGCAGGUUAUUGUGAGCUGCUGCAGAACAAAGUACCUUUGCUUGGAAGCAGCACCGCGUGUAUAGUCGUUCUGGACAGAACAAGUCACCGUUUACAUACAGCCAACUUGGGAGAUUCUGGAUUUUUGGUGGUCAGGGGAGGAGAAGUAGUCCAUCGAUCUGAUGAGCAGCAGCAUUACUUCAACACUCCGUUCCAACUGUCAAUAGCUCCACCAGAAGCAGAAGGAGUUGUCUUAAGUGACAGCCCCGAUGCUGCUGACAGUACUUCUUUUGAUGUCCAACUUGGAGACAUUAUCUUGACUGCAACAGACGGACUGUUUGACAACAUGCCUGACUACAUGAUUCUGCAGGAGUUAAAAAAGCUGAAGAACUCCAACUAUGAGAGUAUACAGCAGACUGCCAGAAGCAUUGCUGAGCAAGCUCACGAGCUGGCGUAUGAUCCCACUUAUAUGUCGCCGUUCGCACAGUUUGCAUGUGACAAUGGAUUGAAUGUGAGAGGGGGAAAACCAGAUGACAUCACCGUCCUUCUUUCUAUUGUAGCUGAGUACACAGACUGACCUGCCCGCGUGUCGGCUCCUGACGUUCCGUUGUCCCCGAGCUCCCAGCCUCACACGCACGGUUUCCUGCUGGCAGGAUCGCUUUCUUUCUUCGCAGCCGAUCUCAGCGGCCGGUUCUUGAGCUCGUUGCCUGUCCUCAGACACAACUGAUGUCCUUGUUCAGAACCACUCUUGUAGUACACUGGUCUUUGUCUGCCAGCAAGAGAUAAAGAAGCUCAAGGCUUGAAGCAUGUCUUUCAGAGCUUAGUCGUUGCCGUUAAGAGGGGGAGGAUCAAUCCCAUAUUGUUUCUGCCUUUGGGAGGUGACUUUGAAAGGAAUAGAAUUGGGUUAUCAUCUUUCAAACUAGAUUCAAUAGCUACAACCUCUGCAAGAGGGCAUAUUACUCUAUUUACUCGAAAUGCUCACUGUUCGUUAGGGGGUAUGUUGCAGACCACAGUUCCAUAAGCAUAGUCUUGUUACAGUGAUAGCUGAGGUUUCGUGUUUCCAAGCUCCGGUUUUCAGGAGAUUUCUAACUGCUGUAAACAUUCUGCUCUUGCCAUCCAUGGUGUCAGCCUAGGAGCCUUUUCUAGUAUGGAAUUUCAAACCACCAUAGUUUAAGUUAGAUGGAUGCAGAUGUGUUUUGUGAUUGAUUAUUUUUUUUUUCAGGUGCUUAACUGUGAUCUUAAAAGUUCUGCAGAUCAUUCGUCCACAACAGGCCUGGUAUCUGGAUGUUUUGGCUGUGGAUAAAUUACUAUUUUUUAUUUUUAAAAACAAAAAUUAAAACUCAGUCUCCAAAAGCUGAGCUGGCCAAAGCUUGGGGCCCUUUUAGCAUUUUAACCCAUCUCGCCAGCGCGGGGUGACGUGGCAUCAAUGCUGCCGUGGGAGGUUGCACAAAGAACAGCUCAUCCUCAACUCUGAGCAUCUUUGCUUCGGAUGUGCACUCUAAACAUAUCAAACCUAAUUUCUUCCUAUGAACUUAAGCUGUCUGCGCACAAAAAACCAAAAGUUGGACAAAGAAAUGACAGGGCCCAUCCUAUCAAUUUUAAAUGAUGCAUGGAGCAGUACCACUUCUAGGAGUUAGAUUAUUGUGACUCUGCACCAGAAGAACAUACAAGGAAGGUGUUCCCUGAGAGACAAAGGAGGUGUGAGUGGAGCAUAGGCUGGCCUCAGCUGCUGCAGAAGCAGGGUGUUCCCAGGAACCAGUAGUUUGGGAGCAGCCAUCUGAAGAAAAAGGAAGAAUUCUCCAUACCAGUAACCACCUAACAUGGGAUCUCUGCAGCAGCGUUGCUCAGUGUUUGGGUCAAACAGGGCUAAGAUGUGGCGAACUGGGAGAACUCUGUGGUUCCUUGUGGCUUGUAUGGCUAUCUUUGGGAGACCUGCGACAUACAGUUUCCCUCUUAACCUAUUUUCUUUGUUUAUGAAGAAGGUAUGGCCGGAGAAAAAACAACAAACCAAAAAACAGAUCUUGGGACCAGACAGUUGUGACUGAGUCGGGGAGAAGGGAGAGGUGAAGGUCUGGUGAAGAGGGGAAGGGUUUGGGAUGGAGUCUCCAUCUCUCAGUAACAAAGGUCCAUUCUCCAGGGCAAAACCAGGUGGUGUGUGUAGACACUGACUGUGUGAAGUAGCUUCUUACGAAGAUAGCUGAAAUAACGAAGCAAAUUGAGUCUGUAUCUAAUGAGGAGGCUUUUCUGUUGUUGUUAAACCGAGACUAUCAUCUAUGCUUACCUAAGAGGCAAUUAUGUGAAUUUCAUGUCUGAGGUAUAACUUAUGCAGGAAUAGUUCUGUAAAUACAUUUAAAUGAAUUGUAAAGAUAUUUAAUAAAUAUAGUAUUUAUACUAAACUGCCUUUUUCUAAAGUA